CCUGUUCGGCUGUCGCCGUUGAGCGCCAUGGCUUCAGCGGUCAGGUUUUCCGUCGUUUCUAGAUUUCGAUUCGUCUGUUAGGGCUCGGUUUAUUCCUGCGAUAUUGAUGAUUUAUUUCGAUGGAUUACGUUUGUUAUCGGUGUGUGAUUUUAGGGUUUGGAUUCUUGGCGAUGGGGAUUUUUCUUGCCAGGUUAAAAUUUUUGAUCUAACGAUGCUUGAAGGUUGAAUUUCCUUAUAUAUUUCAAUUUUUUGGAUUGCGUUUCCGGUUUUGAUUCAUCUGUUUGGGAUUGAUUGAUUGAUUCUGCGUUCGUAGUGCUGUCGGUGUGUUUCUAGGGUUUGGUGGCUGGAUUCGUGGCAAUCGCCUCAUUCUAACAGGUUUAAUAAAGUUUGGAUCUGUCGGUGUGUUUCUAGGGUUUGUUGGCUGGAUUCGUGGCAAUCGCCUCUUUCUAACAGGUUUAAUAACGUUUGGAUCUGAUUAUUUUUCAAAGGUUGCGAAUUCCCAAUCGAAUUUUGUGGAUAUUGAUGGAUUUUGAUAUCUCAUCUUAAAUCUGUUGAUCUGCUUUUGGGUUUUUUGAUUUGGUGUGGUGGUUCCAGGGCGUUUUGGAUUCAAUAACUGGUUCAGCUAGGAGUUCGAUUUGAAGAUUCUCUAUUUACCCUGGGUUUUUGCGUAUCUUCUGUUACCUCAUUGAAGUUUAUGAAAUGAUGAUUUAGUUUAGAAAUUUUGAUCCCCAUCCCAUAUAUGUCCGAAUAAAUGGAGCUUUGUUGUUAACUUUCAGGCAUGGAUUGCGGGUUUCAGUCGCAUAGAUGUCUUAAGACUCGAGCGGUUAGGUAUUGUAUUUGGCUAAUGUUUUGAUGGCGUUCUUGUGUGAUUGCUCUGUGGUUGGGUUUGUACUCCUGUUUUCGCGAUAAAAAUCUUUUGAUGCCUCCCUUUCUUCUUAAAUGUUUAUUUUCCUCCUCUCUCAUUCAAAAAUCGUUCUAAAUUUUAUUACCUUCUAUUGGCAGAUACUAAAUUGGGAAUUUGUACGGUAUUAUCAAGCUGGCAUUAUUUUACACGUAAAUUGGGAAUAUGUUCAAAUCGGGUUUAAUGUCCUCAAUAUUGAUUAUUUCCAUUCAAUUCUGCAUCUUUUUGCAGUCGCUCGUUUUCAGAUCUUUUUAUUUCUUUCCUCAGAUUUAUUUUCCUAUCUCAGAAAAUGUUUGGCCUACGUUUAUUUUUGUUUAGCAGCUACUUUUUAAUUUUUAUUCCUAAAUAAAUAUUGGCUAUUAUGUAUUUUAAGGCUUCUUGCCCACAGCUUUUGUUUUAUAGUUCUAAGAGUCUUGAAGGUUUCGUUUUUUGUUUAGCAGCGUCUUAUGCAAAUGCGUUCUAAUUCUUCUUAGCCAGUCACAGCUAAGAUUUUUUGUAGAUGAAAAAUGUUUCAGGGAGCUGGAGGUGUCUCGGUUUGUUUAUGCACCCUGCUUGGCUUCUUGUUUCUGUUAAAUGUCCAUUACAUUCGAUUGCUGUGUUGUCCUGCCCUUGAUGUUUAGUGCAGAUUCAUCAACAGGGUUCUAACUUCACUCUAUGAGUGGGCACUUAAAGAAGGGGUUUCUCUUGGCUUUUGAUUCUUUUUUUUUUUGUAUUUUAGAGCGUAUAGGUUUUGUGCCACAAUCUGAGCAGUUCUUUUGUCUGCAGACACAUUUUAUUCUUGUUGAGGGAGAGCUGGGUGUUUCAAAGAUGGGGUUUGAGUGGUUCUGAGUGUGAUUUAACUUUUAUGAAUUUGAGCCAUUGUUAUAUCAAUGAUCUUAUUAAAAAAAUUUCUGGUUACAGUUUCGCUGGGUCGAGGAAAAUGGCUGCCUGAUUUAAAGGGGGUUUGUUUCUUUGCUUAUGUUUUAACUGUAUUCUUAGGGCUUAUGAGAUCUAGCACCAUUAUUUGUGGAAUAUUCUUUGCAGAUGAUGUAUCUUGUUUGUUUAUGAAGUCUAAUCUUGUUGGAGCAGAACAUGCUGGUUUGGAGGGGGUCUAAGUGCUUUCUUGCUUUUUAAUUGAAUACUCAUUCAUUUGAUUUGUUUGGUCCUACGUUUGUGUCUACCCAUUCUUGUUUGUAUGCAGAUGUGGGUCGAAGUGCACCUUGUUAGGAUUCUACAGUUUGGGAGCUUUGUGUGGCUUGGUUUGUUUAUUCACCCUGAUUGGCUUCUUGUUUCUGUUAAAUGACCAUUACAUUCGAUUUCUGUGCUGUCCUUCCUUUGGUGUCUUAUGCAGAUGCAUAGCUGAGUCCUAACUCUAUCCAUCCCUAGUAAAGAGUGUCGGAGUUUCACUUCUUUAAAACAUGAGCGGGCAGAAUUUUAAUAGGGGGUUCCUCUUGGCUUAUGAUUCUAUUUUUGUAUUUUAGAGCGAAUGGAUCUUGCCAUAAUCUGAGCAAUGUUUCCUUAUGCAGACACAUUCUAAUCUUUUUGGAAGGAGAACAUGCUGCUUCAAAGCGGGGGUUUGAGUGGUUUUCGAUUGAUUUAAUUUUAUGUGAUUUUGAAACAUUAUUUGAACAAUGAUCUUUUCAAAUAUUUUCUGGCUAUGCAGUUUCCCUCAGUUGAAGGAAAAUGGCUGCCUGAUUUAAAAGGGGGGUUUCUUGGCAUAUGUUUCAAUCUCUUGGCUUAUGAUUCUAUUUUUGUAUUUUAGAGCGUAUGGAUCUUGCCAUAAUCUGUGCAAUGCUUCCUUAUGCAGACACAUUCUAAUCUUUUUGGAAGGAGAACAUGCUGCUUCAAAGCGGGGGUUUGAGUGGUUUUCGAUUGAUUUAAUUUUAUGUGAUUUUGAAACAUUAUUUGAACAAUGAUCUUUUCAAAUAUUUUCUGGCUAUGCAGUUUCCCUCAGCUGAAGGAAAAUGGCUGCCUGAUUUAAAAGGGGGUUUCUUGGCAUAUAUUUCAAUCUCUUGGCUUAUGAUUCUAUUUUUGUAUUUUAGAGCGUAUGGAUCUUGCCAUAAUCUGUGCAAUGCUUCCUUAUGCAGACACAUUCUAAUCUUUUUGGAAGGAGAACAUGCUGCUUCAAAGCGGGGGUUUGAGUGGUUUUUCGAUUGAUUUAAUUUUAUGUGAUUUUGAAACAUUAUUUGAACAAUGAUCUUUUCAAAUAUUUUCUGGCUAUGCAGUUUCCCUCAGUUGAAGGAAAAUGGCUGCCUGAUUUAAAAGGGGGUUUCUUGGCAUAUGUUUCAAUCUCUUGGCUUAUGAUUCUAUUUUUGUAUUUUAGAGCGUAUGGAUCUUGCCAUAAUCUGAGCAAUGCUUCCUUAUGCAGACACAUUCUAAUCUUUUUGGAAGGAGAACAUGCUGCUUCAAAGCGGGGGUUUGAGUGGUUUUCGAUUGAUUUAAUUUUAUGUGAUUUUGAAACAUUAUUUGAACAAUGAUCUUUUCAAAUAUUUUCUGGCUAUGCAGUUUCCCUCGGUUGAAGGAAAAUGGCUGCCUGAUAUAAAAGGGGGUUUCUUGGCAUAUGUUUCAAUCUCUGUUUUCUUAAUGGCUUAUGAGAUCUAGCACCAUUAUUUGUGGAAUUUUCGUUGCAGAUGAUAUACUUUAUGGAGUUGGCUUGUUGAAGCAGAACGUGUCGUUUUUAAGAGGGGUUUUAAGUGCUUCCUUGUUUUCGGUUGAAUUUUCUGUUCUUUGGCUUUUUCUGGUUCAUCGAUUUGUGUCUACCUAUUCUUGUUUGUAUGCAGAUGUGUUGAAGUGCAGCUAAUUAGGAGUUGAACAGUUUAAAGGAGAGCGGGUGUCCUUCUCUUAGGGGGUUCCAUUGUCUUCUGAUUAUAUUCUAUUUUCUUAGAGCGUAUAUUUUUGUGCCUUUAUUUGAGCAGAGCACUGUUUUUAUAUGCAGACAUAUUCCUACGCCUGUCUGUGUACGAGGUCCAUGCUUGUUAGCUCUGUUGUAGAACGGGCUGUUUCUAAGAUGGGGUUUGAGUGAUUAUUGGAUUAUGUAAUUUCUUAUUUUUGGUGGGUUAAUGUUACCUCCUACCAUUAUUUGAUCAGUGAUCGAUGUUUCAUAUCAGAUGCUACCUGAAUUUUUGGUCAUGAAAUCUCACUCAGUCGUUGAGCAAUUUGCUAUCUGCUUCGAAAGGGGGUUUGAUGUUUCUUGGUUUAUGCUUACCUUUCUUAUAUAUUGGAGGUUGUGAGACAUGGACCAUUAUUUGCGCAAUUUUCUGUGCAGAUGCGUUUUAGAGUUCGUAUGCGUAUGGAGUUUAACUUUGUUCAAGGAGAAAGGGGUGCUUUGAAGGGGGUUUCUUUUGAAUCUGUUUUAAAUUUCUAUAUGUCGACUCUGUAUGUGAUUCUACGCCUUGAUUUGAGCAACGCUUCUGUAUGCAGACAUUCUCUCUCUUGUCCAUAUAUGGCAACCACCGUGGAAGGAGCAGUUUGAAUAUGGGGGUUUGAGUAGUUCUUGGGUUAUUAUUUUGUUUCUUAUUCCUUUGGGUUGACGGGAGCUGAAAUAAUCAUUGCAACAAUGUUUCAUGCAGUUACAUUCCAGAUAGUCUAUUUAAGAAGUCUGUUGGAUGGAUUGGCCGACUGCUUUUGAAAAGGGGGUUUGAUGCUUCUAAGCCUGUACUCUUGUAUUCAUUAGACUAAAUACUAUAUGCGAUCGUGGACUAUCAUUUGAGCAGUUAUUUGUGCAGAUGCCUUUGUCUUUUGUCUGUUUGUGUAGUCUUUACUUCAUUAUCGGAGAGCAGCCUGAGCAGGCAGCUUUUAAGAGGGGGUUUUUGGGCUUACGUUUAUCUUUUUACUUUCUAUUUUAUUUUUUUAUUAGUACGUAGCUUGUACCUUCCUUUGAGCAAUGGUUUUUGUAUGCAGACACGUCCGGACUCUAUUUUUGUGAAAGGAGAGCGGUGGAUUUUAACAGGGGUUACCUUAUGUUUUUGUUUUAAUUGUCCGUUAUUAGACUUUGUAUGCAAUCUUGCACCAUGAGUGGGCAUUGUUUCUGUAUGCAGACAUAUUGGCGAGCAUUGGAAGGAGGGCAGUCUGAAUGGGGGUUUGAGUUCGGUUUUGGAUGUUAUUUCUUACUCGUUUGGGUUUGAUGAGAUCUGGAACUAUUAUUGGAACAAUGUUUUAUGCAGGACCUAUUCCAAAAUAGUCUGUUUAUGAAGUCUCAGAGUGUUGGAUGGCAACGGGCUGCCUGUUUUAAAGAGGGGUUUAAUAUAUCUUAGCCUAUGUCUUGAUCUCCUAUUUCUUGUGUUUUGCGAUAUUGUUUGAGCAAUUAAUUAUGCAGACGCCUUUUUGUGUCGGAUGGAGUCCAACUCAUUAUAGGAGAGCAGCCAACUUUUGAGAGGGGGUCUUUGGCUUACGGUUUUUUUUUUUUUUUUCUUUUGUUGGCGUGAUAGAGAUAUUUUAUAGUUAUUUGAGCAAUGUUUUUUGUAUGCAGACACGUCCCCACAUUAGGUUGUAUGUGGUGUGCAAGUUUAGUGGGGGAGAAUGGGCUGCUUAUGAAAGGGGGUUUCCAUAGUUUGCCUUAUGAAUUUAUUUCAAGUUUUUUGUGAGUUUUGAGAUGCUGAACCAUUAUACUCACUGUUUAUUUGCAGAUGUGUCCCAAACUUUUCUUUUGCCUCACUCAGUUGAGUGAAAAAUGGGCUGCCUGCUUUUAGGACGAAGUCAGAUACCUUUUCCCUUUUUUGUUUGUUUGUAAUUUAUUUGCUCUUAUGAGACCUCUUAUGAUUUUCAUUUUUUCUUUCUUUGUUUAUAUAUAUAUUUGCUGUAUUAUUUGUGCGUACUUUUUGUAUGCAGAGACAUCCCAGCUUCUGUCUGUGCUCAGAAGGGGUGCGAAAUGCUUUUAGAAGGGGUUUGAGUUCUUGUCUUGUUACUUGAUUUCAUAUUGGUUUGGAUACCAUUGUCUUCCACGCUAAUGCAUUUGCAGACGUUUUUAGCUUGGAGUCUUUCAUGGGGGUCUACUUUAUGGAAUUGUCCUCACAUUCGGUUUGCUAUUCAUCUGUCAGCCGUCACUUUGUUCAUUAAAAGAUUUGUCUUCAUUGGGUUUACACUUAAUUGGCUUCAUUGUCUUUUGGCACUGGUUUACGCAUCUCAGCUUGGUUUAUGUUCAAAUGUUUCAGCUUGUGUGGAUGGUGGUACUCCCUAUUGUUUGACAAACGCUGAAUUUUGUUUGGUGACUUAAAAUUCUUCAUUCGGCAUUUUUUAUUUCAGCAACGCAUUAUUCAGUUAUCUUUAAACAUAGUUACAGAGGAUAGCGGUCUGCAGCUGAUUUUAAGUUGGAUGAUGGUUCUUUUCUUAUAUUUAGUUUUCCUGUAAAGCGCCGUAAGGUCUUUUUGGUUGGUGCUUCGCUUCAUUGAAUCCUAGAGGAGUAUGAGCUGCUUCUAAGAUGGAGUUUGUUACUUGAUGGCUUUUAUUUUCAAGAUGGCACUCUACGUGGACCGAAGUCAUGGAUUGUGGUUUUGUUUCAACAACUAUGUUUGUGUCGUGCUGUGGUCCUGUGCAGAAUAAUGUCAAGUCUCAUGGGGUUGGGCUGGAUUCAAUAUCUUCUACUUUCCUUGGCCAGAGAUUUCUUCCGGGAGUUGCUUUUAAUUUAAGAGGUUCAUGCUUUCUGUCCUAUCAAGUUAUCGUUUAAUUUGCCAUCUGUAAGAGUUCAUAAUAUCCAGGCAGCUAUGUAUGUCGAUGCAUUCCGCAAGGCAUUUGUUAGAAACUUAGAGGGGGUGUUUAACGUGCUUACUAUCUGGCAGCAGUGUUUGGGAUAUAUGAUUAUGCAUUGAGGAGCUUAUUUCUUUUUCUUGAAUGAGUAUCAUGUUGAAGUUGAUGGAACUGACCGUAGAAGAUGUUGUGGAGUCGGGUUUUAUCCUAUUCAGACUUUAUUAUUUCCCUGUUUCUCAUCGAUCAUCUCUUUAGUUUCCCUUAUGUACUUUGUCAUUAGUGUUGGUAUUACUUAUGCAGAUGUAACUUUGGUGAGGUCUUGCUUGAUUUCAAGUUUUGAUGAUGGAAAUAAAAGUG
rnacentral:lncRNA from 1 species